rnacentral:lncRNA from 1 species
CAAUGACAUGCAUACAGGGAUAGAAUUUUGAAAAAUUUAUUGUAAGUAAUAAUUUCAUACUUAGUGCCAAUAAUUGUUUAUUUUUUUGUAUUGUGUAUGGUCUCCUUAAAGUUAUAUUUUGAGGAGGAUUAAGGGGGGUGGGGCUAAUGGGCCCGGGCACCCCUUUUGAUAAAAUUUUGUUUGAUUAAUUUAUUUAGGGAUCAAAUCAUUAGUGAUUUUUUGAGCGGGUCCUUUUUAAAAAAAUUCUUGAUCCGCCACAGACAUACAGAAAUUAAGUAUGUUUUAUAAUUCUAAGAAAUUCUAUGAUAGAUAUAUAUCAAUUAAAAAAUAUUUAUAUUGAUAUAAGCAUUAGUGAUAAAUUUAAUAAUCUGUCACCUAAGGAUAUUAUGUCCUACCUUUAGGCAUUAUGCUUUCUGAUGAGUCAUAAGUAUGCGUCUGUUCCUAUCUGUCUGUCCGGCUUCAAGUUUAAGUUUUUGAUGAAGUUGAAGUCCAAUCAACUUGAAACUAGGACAAUAAUUAUUGUUCCCUAUAAUGAUAUGAUCUUUCUUAUUUUAUUAUCCAAUUAGUUUUUUGCCCCCAAUUUCAUGGUCCACUUAACAUACAAAAAUGAUAGUGCUAGUGGGUCAUCUGUUCACUAAGGACACAUUAUUGUUAUUGAUUUAAAUGCAAAGUAUUAAGAAUUAGUUUCUGAAUUUCACCAGUUGAUAAUUGCCUACAAUAUAAAAUUUAAGAAUUUUGUACAAGUAUGUCAUUUGAAAGUAUAUUUGACAUGGAUGAGAGUUUAGAUUGGGUUUACAAAAUAGGGAAUAAGAGGCAAAAUGUACAGAAUAAAGGGGGGGAAAAAAGGGGAAAAGAAGGAAAACUAAAACUAAAUAAAUAUUUAAGGAAUGACUGUAAUAUUUUUUCUGUCUAUGAAGAAAUAACAUAAAAAAUUUGGUGCACACUGAAUAACGCGUGUAGCGGGUUAUUUUGCAGUGUGCACCACUUCUUUUAUGUUAAUUAUUUUGAAUAAACAGAAAAAAAUAUUACAGUCAUUUCUUAUAAUUUAAUUCUAAAUUCCAUUUUAAACGGUAGAAAUCCAUUAAAAAACGUUGAUGACAUCUCAGUCACAUGACUGAACUAUGUCUAUGGGCUGAUAACAAAAUAAUGUCAGCCAAUCAGAAGACGCGUUACAUCCAAAAUUAAAUUAUUACAGAAUAACAGCUAGGGUGCUGAAAUGAAAUAUAAAAAAUAGAGAUUUAAAAAAAUAAUUUAAAGAAUAAAGAUACAUGUAUACAGAACCCCUAUCUAGACCUUAAAUAAAUCAAGCCAUAUAAACACAUAAAUGACAAAUACUCUGAAAUUGUGUUUAGGUCAGACAGGAGUUUGUCUGCAAAAGACUAGUAACUCUCCAAUAAAAAAAGAAAAACUGAAAAAAACUGAGAAAGACAUGAUUCAUACAUAAAAUACAAAAUUUAAAAUCUCAAAUCAAAAAAUUAUAAACAGUCAGGGGCGUUACUUAAACGAGUAGUUUUUUUUCGAGUUACUUAAAAAUAUAUUUAUAUAUAAGUAAUUUUUGUUUUUAAAAAUGAUAAAAUUACUUAAUAGAGUUCUUUUAAAUUCUACAAGAAUCAUAGAUUAAAUGUAGUUUGAAUGAGUUUUUUUUUAUCAUUUUAUAUCAUGAAAUAAAGAUUUUAUUAGAUAAAUUUGAGAAGAGUAUGGAGAUAAAGGUUUAAGUUAAAAAUCAUGACAAAAAUAUUACUUGAAUAAGUUAUUUUAUAUAUUUCUGAAAAAAAUAGUAAUAACACUUAUUGAAGGAACACAUGUAGUUGAUUUGGGUUAGCAGUUAUAAAUAACUUGAAAUCUUAAUUAAUUCACAAGUAUGUUUCUAUUUAUAUCAGUCUAUCUUCAAGAUUUAGGAGGAAAAUGAUAAUUUUAUAGUCCCUAGAGACCAAUCUUUAACCCAGAAGCAUCCUAUGAAAGAUAAGGGAUAAGUGCAUCAGUAAGUUGAUUAGUGUUACAUUUCAUGGGGAAAAUAACCAGAUGACUGUGAAAACUUGUUAAAGCUAGUAAAAUCUGCAUUAUUCAUGGACACCUAUAAAAAUGAUAUUUAGAAAAGUUACCUAUAUAAGACUAUUAAAAUAAUAUUUAAAAUAGCCUUGUUUUCAACAUAUCUUAUAUAGGAUUAGGUAAUUUCAAAUGUGACUUGUUUAAAUAAUGCCCCUGACUUAUGAUUUUUUUUCUGUUUGUCAAAAGUUUUAUUUUCUAUUUAGCUCAGCUGACCUUAGAGGCCAUGUGAGCUUUUGCCAUCCCUUGGAACAUCCAUUGUCUGGUGUACACUUUUUCAUAGAUCUUCUCUUUUAAAACUACUGAAUUAAUUAAUUUUAACCAAACUUAGGCUAAAUGAUCCUUAGGGUAUCUAGUAUAUGUUUUGUAAUUUUUAUACGACCGCAAACAUUUUUUGGUCGUAUAUAUUGGUAUCACGUUGGCGUCGUCGUCGUGGGAAGACAUUUGGUGUUCGCACUCUAACUUUAGUAAAAGUAAAUAGCAAUCUAUGAAUUUAAACACAAGGUUUAUGACCAUAAAAGGAAGGUUGGGAUUGAUUUUGGGUGUUUUGGUUCCAAUUGACAGUUUAGGAAUUAGGGGCCUAAAAGGCCCAAAUAAGCAUUUUUCUUGGUUUUCGCACAAUAACUUUAGUAUAAGUAAACAGAAAUCUAUGAAAUUUUAACAUAAGGUCUAUGACCACAAAAGGAAAAUUAGGAUUGAUUUUGGGAGUUUAGGUCCCAACAGUUUAGAAAUUAGGGGCCAAAAACAGGUCCCAAAUAAGCAUUUUUCUUGGUUUUUGCACAAUAACUUUAGUAUAUAAGUUAAUAGAAGUCUAUGAAAUUUUAACACAAGGUUAAUGACCACAAAAGGAAGGUUUGGAUUGAUUUUAGGGGCCAAAAGGGUCCAAAAUUAAACUUUGUUUGAUUUCAUGAUAACAUCAAAAAAUGAAUUAUUGGGGUUCUUUGAUAUACCAAAUCUAACCGUGUAUUCAGAUUCUUAAUUUUUGGUCCUGUUUUCAAAUUGGUCUACAUUAAGGUCCAAAGGGUCCAAAAUUAAACUUUGCUUGAUUUUAACAAAAAUUGAAUUCUUGGGGUUCUUUGGUCUGCUGAAUCUAAACAUGUACUUAGAUUUUUGAUUAUGGGCCCAGUUUUUAAGUUGGUCCAAAUCGGGGUCCAAAAUUAUUAUAUUAAGUAUUGUGCAAUAGCAAGAAAUUUUCAAUUGCACAGUAUUCAGCAAUAGCAAGAAAUUAAUCUUCAAUUGCACAGUAUUGUGCAAUAGCAAGAAAUCUUCAAUUGCACAGUAUUGUGCAAUAGCAAGAAAUCAAUUGCACAGUAUUGUGCAAUAGCAAGAAAUCUUCAAUUGCACAGUAUUGUGCAAUAGCAAGAAAUCUUCAAUUGCACAGUAUUGUGCAAUAGCAAGAAAUAUCUAAUUGCACAAUAUUGCGCAAUAGCAAGAAAUUUUCAAUUGCACAGUUUUGCGCAAUAGCAAGAAAUAUUUAAUUGCACAGUAUUGUCCGGUUUUCAAAUUGGUCUUCAUUAAGGUCCAAAUUAAAGGGUCCAAAAUUAAACUUUGUUUGAUUUCAACAAAAAUUGAAUAUAUGGGGUUCUUCAAUAUGCUGAAUCUAACCAUGUAUUUAGAUUUUUAAUAUUUGAGCCCAGUUAUCAAAUUGGUCCACAUUGAGGUCUAAAGGUUCUAAAAUUGAACAUUAUUUGAUUUCAUCAAAAAUUGAAUUCUUGGGGUUCUAUGAUAUGCUGAAUCUAACCAUGUAUUUAGAUUUUUGAUAUUCAUGAUAUUGGACCAUAAUAGGUAAAUGUCCAUUUUAAAAUUUUUAAGUUUUUAAGUUUAAGUUCUUAUAGACCACAUUCAUUCUGUGUCAGAAACCUAUGUUGUGUCAACUAUUUAAUCACAAUCCAAAUUCAGAGCUGUAUCAAGCUUAAAUGUUGUGUCCAUACUUGCCCCAACUGUUCAGGGUUCGACCUCUGCGGUCAUAUAAAGCUGCGCCCUGCAGAGCAUCUGGUUAGCUCAUGGCGGCCCGAAAGGCCCUAUGUGAUCUUACGCCAUCACAUCGUAAACUAUUUUAAAAAAUCUUCUCCUCUGAAACGACUGGGCCAAAUACCUUCAAACUUUAACUAAUGUUCCUUAGGNAAAAGGCCCAAAUAAGCAUUUUUCUUGGUUUUCGCACAAUAACUUUAUAUAAGUAAAAGAAAUCUAAUGAAAUUUUAACAUAAGUCUAUGACCACAAAAGGAAAAUUAGGAUUUAUUUGGGAGUUUAGCCAACAGUUUAGAAAUUAGGGGCAAAAACAGGUCCCAAAUAAGCAUUUUCUUGUUUUUGCACAAUAACUUUAGUAUAAGUUAAUAGAAGUCUUGAAAUUUUAACAACAAGGUUAAUGACCACAAAAGGAAGGUUUGGAUUGAUUUUGGGAGUCUUGGUCCCAACGAAUUAGGGGUCAAAAGGGUCCAAAAUUAAACUUUGUUUGAUUUCAUGAACAUCAAAAAAUGAAUUAUUGGGGUUCUUUUGAUAUACCAAAUCUAACCGUGUGUUCAGAUUCUUAAUUUUUGUCCUGUUUUCAAAUGGUCUACAUUAAGUCCAAGGUUCCAAAAUUAAACUUUGCUUGAUUUUAACAAAAAUUGAAUUCUUGGGGUUCUUGGUCUGCUAAUCUAAACAUGUACUUACAUUUUUGAUUAUGGGCCAGUUUUAAGUUGGUCCAAAUCGGGGUCCAAAUUAUUAAUUAAGUAUUGUGCAAUAGCAAGAAAAUUUUCAAUUGCACAGUAUUCAGCAAUAGCAAGAAAAAAUCUUCAAUUGCACAGUAUUGUGCAAUAGCAAGAAACUUCAUUGCACAGUAUUGUGCAAUAGCAAAAAUCUUCAAUUGCACAUUUGGCAAUAGCAAGAAAUCUAAUUGCAUAAUAAUGCGCAAUAGCAAGAAAUUUUCCAUUGCACAGUUUUGCGCAAUAGCAAGAAAUAUUUAAUUGCACAGUAUUGUCCGGUUUUCAAAUUGGUCUUCAUUAAGGUCCAAAUUGAAGGGUCCAAAAUUAAACUUUGUUUGAUUUCAACAAAAAUUGAAUAUAUGGGGUUCUUCAAUAUGCUGAAUCUAACCAUGUAUUUAGAUUUUUAAUAUUUGAGCCCAGUUAUCAAAUUGGUCCACAUUGAGGUCUAAAGGUUCUAAAAUUGAACAUUAUUUGAUUUCAUCAAAAAUUGAAUUCUUGGGGUUCUAUGAUAUGCUGAAUCUAACCAUGUAUUUAGAUUUUUGAUAUUCAUGAUAUUGGACCAUAAUACAUGUAAUAGGUAAAUGUCCAAUUUAAAAUUUUUAAGUUUUUAAAUUUAAGUUCUUAUAGACCAUUGUAGACCCCAUUCAUUCUGUGUCAGAAACCUAUGUUGUGUCAACUAUUUAAUCACAAUCCAAAUUCAGAGCUGUAUCAAGCUUAAAUGUUGUGUCCAUACUUGCCCCAACUGUUCAGGGUUCGACCUCUGUGGUCAUAUAAAGCUGCGCCCUGCGGAACAUCUGGUUAGCUCAUGGCGGCCCCGAAAGGCCCUAAUUGUGACUUACGCCACACACAUCGUAAACUAUUUUUAAAACUUCUCCUCUGAAACGACUGGCCAAAUACCUUCAAACUUUAACUAAAUGUUCCUUAGGGUAUCUUGUUUUUGUUUAGUUAUUAUAAUUUAUAGAUAGAUAUAAACUGUUACAAAAUAAAUAAAGCAGCAAUAAUGUUCAGCAAAGUAAGAUCUACAAAAAAGUUAAUGUGACCAAAAUUGUUAAUUGACCUCUUAACGAGUUCUUGCCCUUUUAAGUCAAUUUUACACAACAUGCACAAUGUGUUGAUCAAGUUUGCUAUAACAUUUAAAAAUCUUUUCCUCUAAAAUACAGGUGAGCGAUUCAGGCUCUUGAGAGCAUCUUGUUAUCUUGUCCUUUAAUUAAGAAACACUGCAUAGUUUGGUAAACAAACUUUAAUAUUUUAAGAUUAAUCUGCCUUAAUUAUUAAGACUAAUCUUGACAACCCUUGGCUAUUUGAAGUUAUUGCCCCUGAAAAGCAAGUUCCCACAAAUUUUACAUGCUAUAUAUGUUUUUGUUAACAAUGAUUGUCAUAUUGAAAACAAUUAUAGAUAUCUUAAAGAUAAAUUUAAAACAGCAAAACGGUAAAACAGUAGUGUGGAUCCUUAUAUGAGUUAUUUGCCCUUGAAAGACGAAAUUUUAGCAGAAUUUCAAGUUUCAUGCAGAAAAUAGUACAUUGUAGUAUUGGUUUGUCCUUUAGAAAUUAUUUUACCAAAAAAUGUCUGUAAUGAUCACGAUAGAUAGAAAGAAAUUUAUUUUUAGCUCACCUGGCCCUAAGGGCCAAGUGAGCUUUUCUCAUCACUUGGCGUCCGGCGUCGGCGUAGCGUCAUCUGUCAUCGUUAGCUUUUACAAAAAUUUUUUCUCUGAAACUACUGGGCCAAAUUAAACCAAACUUGGCCACAAUCAUCAUUGGGGUAUCUAGUUUCAAAUAUAUGUGGCGUGACCCAGCCAACCAACCAAGAUGGCCACCACAGCUAAAAAUAGAACAUAGGGGUAAAAUGCAGUUUUUGGCUUAUAACUCAAAACCCAAAGCAUUUAGAUCAAAUCUGACAGAGUAAAAUUGUUUAUCAGGUCAAGAUCUAUCUGCCCUGAAAUUUUCAGAUGAAUCAGACAACCGGUUGUUGGUUUGCUGCCCCUGAAUCGGUAAUUUUAGGGAAAUUUUGCUGUUUUUGGUUAUUUAAUAUCUUGAAUAUUAUUAUAGAUAGAGAGAAACUGUAAACAGCAAUAAAUGUUCAGCACAGUAAGAUUUACAAAUAAGUCAACAUGACUGAAAUGGUCAGUUGACCCCUUUAGGAGUUAUUGCCCUUUAUAGUCAAUUUUUAACCAUUUUUCCUAAAUCUUAGUAAUCUUUUACAAAAAUCUUCUCCUCUGAAACUACUGGGCCAAAUUAAGCCAAACUUGGCCACAAUCAUCUUUGGGGUAUCUAGUUUUCUAACCAAGAUGGCCACCACGGCUAAAAAUAGAACAUAGGGGUAAAAUGCAGUUUUUGGCUUAUAACUCAAAAACCAAAGCAUUUAGAGCAAAUCUGACAAGGGGGGGGUAAAUUGUUUAUCAGGUCAAAAUCUAUCUGCCCUGAAAUUUUCAGAUUGAUCGGACAACCGGUUGUUAGGUUUGCUGUCCCUAAAUUGGUAAUUUUAAGGAAAUUGUGCCGCUUUUUGUUAUUAUUUUGAAUAUUAUUAUAGAUAGAGAUAAACUGUAAACAGCAAUAGUGUACAGCAAAGUAAGACCUUAAAAUAAGUCAACAUGACCAAAAUGAUCAAUUGAGCCCCUAAGGAGUUAUUGUCUUCUAAAGUCAAUUUUUAUAAUAAUUUUCAUAAAAUUUGUAAAUUUUUACUAACAUUUGUAGAAUCUAUUUUGAUAUACGAUUCCAGUAUUUGCUGAAUACUGUUUGAAUUUUUCUGCUUAAGAAUUCGAUUGAUUACUCGUAAUGAAUGAUAUAUUAUAUAUCUAUUUUCAACUGUGUUCUUUUUCUAGACAAAAAUUCAUAGAAAUUGAUCCAAGAUCCACCUAUUUAGGUGAAAAUCAUAACUCUAUCCUAAUUUCAUAGACAGAAUUUCAUAGAAAUUAAUCUAAUAUCUAUAUCCAUUAGUGCAAAUCACAAUUUUAAUGAUGUGCCUUCAAGCAGUUCAUGUGUAAAAAAAAUUCUAAGGAUGAUACUGUGGAUUCAUUUAUUUUCGAGGGUAUCAAUUUUCGUAGAUUAAAGAGAUUUUGUAUAUUUCACGGAUAUUUGUUUUAUGGUUUUGUCAAAGUCUGUAUACAACCUGAUGGCACAUUUGUAAUUCGUUUAACAUUUAAAAUUAUGGUUCAUCUGUUUCAAUGAAAACCAAGAAAAUUGGUAUCCCAUGAAUAAUGAUUCCACAGUAAACAUUUUCAGCAUGAAUGAUGAAGUUUUAUGACAUUCUGUUCUUUUUUCAGAUUGACAUAUCCAUAGAACAUGCAGUUAGCCUAGACAAACAGGAAGAGAAAGGUCUCUGAUUCAGUUCUCUUUGAAGUUCAAGGUCUUUUUUAAUCUAAAUUAUAAUGGGAAGAUGUGAAAGGUAAGUUUUAAAGUUUGUAAGUGUUCAAAAAUAUGUUAUUUCUAACAAAAUGUGCUGUUUCACAAAUAAAAUACUCUGUCUCUUAGACACUUAUGUAGCAAUAUGGCCACUAUAUUGGUGUAUGAAAUGAUUGUAAGCUGUAUUUGCCUGACCGGUUAAACUGACCAUGCGGUCAUUUUCAUGGAUCUUUUAUGGAUCUAGUUUAUGUAUUAUUAUUGAAAAAAGCAUCAAAUUUUCAAUCAUAAGUAAAGCAGGCUUGGUAGUUGUUAAUUUCUGUGUCAUUUUGGUUCUUGUGGAGAGUUGUCUCAUUGGCAAUUAUACAACAUCUUCUUUUUUAUAUGACAUUUGAAUGUUGCAUUUGAUAUAUAUAUAUAUAUACGUAUAUUGCAAUCACACAUUAGCUGGCCAAUUGUUUAUUAGCAUCCAUUGUUCACAAAUAACUAUUUGUGAAAUUAAGGGACAUGCUAAGGACAACCUUUUAAUGCCCCCGCAGUAGUAUUUACCCUUGACCUUCUGUAUGACUGUACAUCCUUCCAUACCUCCCAAAGUUGGUUACUGUUCUCAAACUUCAGUUUGCCUCAACCAAAUGUUAUGAUACUGAUACAUAAUGCUUAUACCAAAAAACACAGAUCAAGUUUGAAUUUUGGUGGUGUCAUGUACUUUAACCGUUCUAGAGUUAUGCCCCUUUACAAACAAACAAAAAUGCUGAAACUUUAUUUCAAUGUUCUCACUUUAGUUUGCCUCUAAACCAAAUGCUGUGAAACUAAUACACAGCAAUGCUUAUUACCACAAAAUACAGAUCAAGUAUGAAUUAAGGGGGUGGCGUCACUUAACUGUUCUGCAGUUAUGUCCCUUAACAAAUGAAAAAGAUGCUUAUAUUUAUAGUUUCUGUUCUCUAACUUUGGUUUGCCUCAACUAAAUGCAAUGAAACUUAUACACAAUGCUUGUUACCACAUAAUACAGAUCAAGUUUGAAUUUUAAGGGGGUCACUUUAACUGUUCUAGAAUUAUGCCCCUUCACAAAUUGAAUGAUUGCUGAAAUUUUCAUUUCAAUUCACUAACUUUAGCUUGCCUCAACCAAAUGCUAUGAUAUGUAACACAAUACUUAUCACCACAAAAUACAGAUCAAGUUUGACUUUAAAGAUUGUCACUAAAUUUUCUAGAGUUAUGCGCCUUUGAAAAUGGAAAAAUUACUGAAUUUUUGUUUCCGUUCUCUAAAUUAAGUUUGCAUAAACCACAUUUUAUGGAACUUGUACACAAUACCUAUUACCACUAAAUCAGAUUAAGUGUUUUUGGUGGAGUCACUUUUACCGUUCUUCAGUUAUGUCCUUUUAUAACUUUAUAUGAUAUACAAGAAGGGCAUCAUCUGUGAUCCAUUGAUACAUUCCCUAUUUAAUUUUUUGUUAUUAUUUUGAUUUUUUUGGUGUCGGAGCCAAUAAAUGCCCAUUUGUUUGUAGGUAAAAACAUGAAGAAUCGGUAAAGUAACACACACACAUAUAUAUAUAUAUCAAAAAAAUUAAAACACCAGAUUAGAAAAAAAAGAUUCAGUAUGAUUGCUUUAAGGAAACAACCGCCAUAAUAAGAAACAAAAUUUAAAUAUCAUUAGUGUGGUAAGUCUUCAAUUAUUGAACAAAACAAAUGACAUACAUUAAGCCAUGAAAGACAUGUGUUAACAAAUUCAUUUAUUAUCAUGAUUAUAAGACAGAACAAAAUAUGCUGGAAAAAAAAUCAUGAAUAAUAUGCCUGAAGGACUUUAAAAUAUUGAACUUGAAUUGACUUUUCUUUGUAGGAUGCAUAGAAAUUUUUGGAGGACAAAUUGGCGUGAGUCUAAAAAGACACAGAUUUGAAGAUAAGCGAGAGAAAAAGAAUGACAAACAUAGUUUAAAGGACUGAAGACUUCCUGAUAUCUUUCAAACUGUUCUUUUGGUAUAAAUGUAAUAAUGCAAUAUCAUCUUAUUUGUAUAGGCAUACAUCCUGUAAAUCUUGUUGAUGCCUUUUAGCUCCUUAAAUGCAACCACUAUUUAGUAACAUUGUUGUGAUUGUAGUUCUAUAUGUGAGCAUAUUAGUUAACUAGACUGUCAUUGACUGUAGUAAUUGCAUAUAUACAUGCAUUAUUAUAUACCAUACUUAUCAUCAAUCUUAGUCUUUUUAAUUCAGAAGAAAUUUUUAAAACAAGUUAUUCUAAUCAGACUAACCUAUUAUAUGCACUUUGUCAAAUAUAGCAAAUAUGUUGCAAAUGUGGUGCAAUAGAGAGCAACCUAUAUAUUUCUUAGAAAAUACUUUUUUCUGAACUGUAAUGAAAAGUAUGCUUAUAUAGUUAAAAUACUUUUUUUGUAAGUGAGACUUAUUUUCUAUGAAUCAUAAUAUUUUAACAAAUAUUAGAAACAAAUUUACAUAAAAACUUUCUUGUGUAUCAAAAUUCUGUGUUGUAUAAAAAUCUUAAAGAUUUUGUUUUUUCAGGAUAUUUCCCAAUAUGUUUAAGAAAUCAAAAUUCUAAAUUUUGGCUUGUAGAUUUUAUUUCGGGAUUUUUCCCGAAAUGGGAAAAAAAAAUCUAUGCACCAAAAUAAAUAAAGUGUGUGCCUGAUAUUAGAUUUAUAUUUUCGGGAUUUUUCCCGAAAUGUGAAAAGAAAUUAUUAGUCAUGAGAUCUAGCAUAUACAUUGAAUUUUUCGGGAUAAAUCCCGAAAAUAUUUGCAGACAUCUGUAUUAUACAUUUUGUAAUUUGUUUAUAUUUUCGGGAUUUUUCCCGAAAUGUGAAAAGAAAUUAUUAGUCAUGAGAUCGAGCAUAUACAAUGAACUUUUCGGGAUAAAUCCCAAAAAAAUUUACAGACAUCUGUGUUAUACAUUUUGUACUUAGUUUAUUUUUGUCGGGAUAUUUCCCGAAAAUUGUUUCAGAUUUUUUUUUUAAACGCUUUGCCAACAUAUAUGUCCUAAAAUUUAAUGUUGAAAAUGAGUUCGGGACAUUUCCCGAAUAAAUAGUUGUCAUAUACAUUUUUUUACCACAAAUAGUUCAUUACUUUCAUAUAUUUUGGG